AAAUAAUGUUUGAAGCGAUGGAAUUGGAAGUGUCAGUGGAAGAGACAAACAAACCAAAACACAAAAAAAUAAAUCGAUCACGCCGAUAAUUUGGGGGAAGCCAUCAACUGCAUAAAAGCCAUGUGUCACGUCUGUCUCCCUUUUCGGUCUAGCGUGGUCACUGCUUAUGUACGUAAGUUAUUGUCACUUGGCACUUCCUGGGUUGUUUAGUACAUCCAGUUUUACUUUGGUGAGUCACAUUCAGUUUGUAUUUGUUCUAGCUUUGGUUCCUUUGCCACGUGUCACUUCAGGUGUUUCUAAUUUGGGUUCGUUAGUAAUAUUUAAGCCCUGGGUUUCCACUCUUUUGCCAGAACGUCGCACCUAGUAAGUCUUCCUAUCCAGCAUUCCUAUCCGUGUUUUGACCUUGUGUAUGACUGUGCUUGUUUUUUUUUAACCUCCUCCUUGCCUCAUGUCUUUUGGAUACUGUUGCCUGGUUGGAUUGACUACCUGUGUGCUGAACCCUGCCCUUAAAUAAACUGCCUAAGUUUGCUUCUUACUGACUGUCUUGGCCUUUGUGUCCUACCUGGUCUGUGUUAGGAACUGUGUUGGUACGUUCUGGCCGUAUAUGGACACAGCAGAUACAGAUGUGGUACGACCGGCUCCGAGGAAUCCGGGCCAAAAGCCAGCUCAACAAGAGGAGUCUGCCAGUCUCUGGUCGGAAUUAAAGGAGCUGGUAAAGAGACAGGACUCGAUUAUGUUAACUCUAGAUUCACAGGCGAAGAUUUUAAGUGAGAAGCUGAAGAGUCUGAAUCCUACUGCGGCUGAGCCAAACCCCGCUCCUGAACCACUUCGCGGUUUGGUUGCCAAACGCCGCCUCCGGUCAUCACUACUUCCACCCUUCCACAGUUAUCUCGGCCCCAAAAGUUUUCAGAGGCUUGGGCUACAGCUGAAUGGAGCCGCCGUUCUCUCACCUGUGCCUCACUCGACAGCUUUACUCAGGCACCGGAGCAGAUUUACCAGCAUACAUCGUGGGGAAAAGAAGCGACUAGAGCGCUAACUCAGCUGAGGCAAGGCAGGCGCAAGGUGUCUGAUUACGCAAUCGAUUUUCAAACCUUGGCUGCGGAGAGUGACUGGAACAAUGCUGCCUUAACCGAUGCAUUUUUUCAAGGACUUUCUGAUAGUGUGAAAGAUCACCUGAUAACCAUUGAUAUUCCCAACGAUUUGGAUAAUUUGAUAGCUCUGGCUAUCAAGUUCGACAAGAGGAUACAGGAACGAGAAAUGCUACGCUGCCAUGUCAAAGGUUUUAAGUAUGGCAACAACAAGACACCAAGGGUGAGACAAAGUAUAAUUUUACAAUAAUCCUGGCCGUUUCAAACUCUAAUAUACGUUUAAAUCAGACACUAUCGCUUUACUUACCCUGUACUCAUUGACUCUGGCUCUGAAGCCAAUUUAAUCAACCACUCGUUUGCUAGGAUCUUGGGCCUGAGACAGCACCGUCUCCCCAGGUCCCUUUUGACAGGAUUACUCACCGCACACGGUCUGUUACGGUUAUGUUCCCGGAUAAUCAAACUGAACGGAUUAGUUUUCACGUUUUUUCCUUCCAUGAGUCACCGUCUUGGGUCACCCCUGGUUAAAAAAAACAUAACCCUCAUCUUGAUUGGGUGGCCAGGAAGAUCGUAGCUCGGGGGGUAAAAUGUGCCAAACCCUGCCCGUAAUAAACUGCCUAAGUUUGCCUCUUA